AUUCACUGUGUUGCCCCUAGUUUGUGAGUAAACUAAAUCACUGUGAUCAGGUGUGGGUAUGAAGUAGCACUAGAUGUUGUUAAUUAGGAUGGAAUCACCUGUUUCUUAAAGCCCUGCUGGGGGUGGAAACCAUUUGUUCCUGUUGUUUUUCCAAGCCUGAGAAGGUCCAUGACUUCUGUGAGUGAGUACUUCAAAAGAAGCAGUUCUAAACUAUCUUCUUCAAGAGCAUACAAGGCUUUCCUUUUGCUUCAGAGAAAAGAAUUAAGUCUGUUAGAAAGUUGAAUGCAGUGAUGAAAUGAAGAAAGAGAUUAUGCCUGAAGCUGUCUGUUACAGUAAAUGUGAGGUCUACUUACAAUGGAGGCGAGAUCAAAGUUGUCAUAAAAAUCAGUCCUAUAUGUCCAUGGAUGCCUCAUGGUGGAAUUCAUUUAUGAGGACAAAAGUCCUGCAUACAAAGAGCAUGAAUAGCUGUAACUACAGAACUAUGGACCAUGAAUAGCUGUAACUCCUGGAAUUUCAUCAGUGUAAGGAAAAAGCUGUGCAGCUGGUGAUGUCACAGUGCUAGAAGAUAGAGAACUUCACCCAGUUUCAGCAAAGUUACUCAUGUGGCCGGCACUAUCCUGAACAAAGAUGAAGUUCUGGUCUCCUGAAAACAAGACUUACUGUGUCUAGAGAGACAAUGUGGUGGCUACUGCAUCGGUUUGUCUGUGGACACAUGUUAAUUUUCAGUAUUACAGCUGAACUGAACAGAGUGUGAGGACAGCUGUGGACUAAAGAUAUAUGAGGGCUGCUCUGAAAGUAAUGCCUCCUAUCUUAUUACACUAGCCCAAGACAUCAGAGGCAGACGUUGGUGGGAUGGCAUUAGAGGCUGAACCUGCACAUCAGUAUUCUGUUACAUUGUGUUGUCGUGUGACAGGUGGCAGCAGAGGGGCAGCCUGACACAAUGGCAUCUGCCAUGGAAGUGUGUAUGAAGCAAAGGUGUGUCAGUGCGUUCUGCCAUGCAGAAAAGAGGGCACCCAGUGACAAUCAUUGUCAUUCUUGUUCGUCACUGGUGAAAAUACGCAGCUACUGGUGGUGACUAUGUUGGAAAAUAGUGUUUUGUGGCUGAGAAUUUGCUCUAUCAAUUAGUGUUACUGUGAUCUUUGUAUCUAUUCUGGUUUCCAUGGAAAUAAACAUGAAGCAUUACUUUUGGAGCA
rnacentral:lncRNA from 1 species